UAGGGAAUCUUCGGCAAUGGGGGGAACCCUGACCGAGCAACGCCGCGCGAGUGAAGAAGGUUUUCGGAUCGUAAAGCUCUGUUGUUAAGGAAGAACGAGUGUGAGAAUGGAAAGUUCAUACUGUGACGGUACUUAACCAGAAAGGGACGGCUAACUACGUGCCAGCAGCCGCGGUAAUACGUAGGUCCCGAGCGUUGUCCGGAUUUAUUGGGCGUAAAGCGAGCGCAGGCGGUUAGAUAAGUCUGAAGUUAAAGGCAGUGGCUCAACCAUUGUAGGCUUUGGAAACUGUUUAACUUGAGUGCAGAAGGGGAGAGUGGAAUUCCAUGUGUAGCGGUGAAAUGCGUAGAUAUAUGGAGGAACACCGGUGGCGAAAGCGGCUCUCUGGUCUGUAACUGACGCUGAGGCUCGAAAGCGUGGGGAGCAAACAGG
rnacentral:rRNA from 1 species